rnacentral:rRNA from 1 species
GAACGAACGCUGGCGGCAUGCCUAACACAUGCAAGUCGAACGAGACCUUCGGGUCUCGUGGCGCACGGGUGCGUAACGCGUGGGAACCUGCCCUUAGGUUCGGAAUAACUCCCCGAAAGGGGUGCUAAUACCGGAUAAUGUCUUCGGACCAAAGAUUUAUCGCCUUUGGAUGGGCCCGCGUUGGAUUAGCUAGUUGGUAGGGUAAAAGCCUACCAAGGCGACGAUCCAUAGCUGGUCUGAGAGGAUGAUCAGCCACACUGGGACUGAGACACGGCCCAGACUCCUACGGGAGGCAGCAGUGGGGAAUAUUGGACAAUGGGCGAAAGCCUGAUCCAGCAAAGCCGCGUGAGUGAUGAAGGCCUUAGGGUUGUAAAGCUCUUUUACCCGGGAUGAUAAUGACAGUACCGGGAGAAUAAGCUCCGGCUAACUCCGUG